AUGAAAGGGACUUGGUUGAAAUGCCAAGAGGGAGCUAAACUUAUCUUAAUGCAUUAAUCAGAUAUAAAAAGUUAUGAAAGGGACUUGGUUGAAAUGCAAAGAGGGAACUAAACUAAUCUUAUGACAUUAAUCAGGUAUAAAAGGUUAUGAAAGGGACUUGGUUGAAAUGCCAAGAGGGAGCUAAACUUAUCUUAAUGCAUUAAUCAGGUAUAAAAGGUUAUGAAAGGGACUUGGUUGAAAUGCCAAGAGGGAGCUAAACUUAUCUUAAUGCAUUAAUCAGAUAUAAAAAGUUAUGAAAGGGACUUGGUUGAAAUGCAAAGAGGGAACUAAACUAAUCUUAUGACAUUAAUCAGGUAUAAAAGGUUAUGAAAGGGACUUGGUUGAAAUGCCAAGAGGGAGCUAAACUUAUCUUAAUGCAUUAAUCAGGUAUAAAAGGUUAUGAAAGGGACUUGGUUGAAAUGCCAAGAGGGAGCUAAACUUAUCUUAAUGCAUUAAUCAGAUAUAAAAAGUUAUGAAAGGGACUUGGUUGAAAUGCAAAGAGGGAACUAAACUAAUCUUAUGACAUUAAUCAGGUAUAAAACGUCAUGAAAGGCACUUGUUUGAAAUGCAAAGAGGGAGCUAAACUAAUCUUAAGACAUUAAUCAGGGCAUAAUAAUUUCUUCAAUUUUUUUGAUGCAGAAGAUCAGAAUUAAUCUAUAUAGAUAUGAAAUUGGCUUCAUGACAUUGUUAUUCAAAAGGCAUAAUAAUUUCUUCAAUUUUUUUGAUGCAGAAGAUCAGAAUUAAUUUAUAUAGAUAUGAAAUUGGGC